CUCCCAGUCAAAUGUUUUAGUGCUAGCUCAAUUUAAUGGACAAAUAUCAAUUCAUCAUGUUAAUGUGCCAUAAUGUCUUCACAUGUAAUUAUUGGUGGAUCAUGUACAUUUUAAUUUUUGCCAAUUUAAUAGUGAAAUUUCAAAAUGUCAUUUUUUUACAUUUAUUUGGUUAUUGUGCAUUUGAUCAUUUUUCAUACUUUUAAUUUUUCCCCCGUUUUAUUGAGAUAUAAUUGACAUGCAACGCCGUAUAAGUUUAAGGUGGAUAGCAUAAUGACUUGUAUAUUGUGAAACGAUUAGCACAGUUAGUUAACAUCCAUCAUCUCAUAUAUAUACCAAAAAAAAAAAAAAAAAAGCUUUUUCCUUGUGAAAACAACUAUUAGGAUUUACUCUCUCAACAAUGCACAGAUAAAUCUACCAUAGAGUAGUUUUAACUAUCGUCAUCAUGUUGUACAUUAUAUCUGCAGUACUUAUUUAUCUUAUAACCAGAAGCUUGCACCUUUUGACCACCUUCAUCCAAUUCCCCAAUCCCUCAUCCCCUGCCUCCAGAAACAACAAAACUGCAUCUCUUUUUCUAUCAGUUUGUUUUAUUUUGUCUUGGCUUUCAGUUUAGUUUUGUUUUUUAGAUUCCACACGUGAGAUCAUAUAUUAUUGGUCUUUCUUUGUCUAACUUAUUUCACGUAGCCAUAAUACCCUAAGGGUCUAUCCGUGUUGUCACAAAUGGCCUGGUCACAGAUUUCCUUCUUUUUAUGGCUGAAUAAUAUUCCAUUGUUUAUUUAUGCUACAAUUUCUUUAUCCAUGUAUCCAUUACUGGAAAUUUAUGUUGUUUCCAUGGCUUGCCUUCUGUGGAUAAUGCUGCUACAAACAUGAGGUGCAUAUAUCUCAUCAACAUGGUGUUUUCAUUUCCUUCAGAUAUAUUCCCAAAAGUGGGAUUGCUGGAUCAUAUGGCAGUUCUAUUUUGAAUUUUUUGAAGAAACUUAAUAGUGUUUUCCAUAGGAACUAUACCAGUUCACAAUGCCACCGGUAGCACACAACUGUUCUCUUUUUUUCACAUUUUUGCCAGCAUUUGUCAUCUCUUCCCUUUUUGAUGAUGGUCAUUCUAACCAUCUUGGGAAAAAAUCAAAAUUCACAAUUCAAAGUACAGUUUCUACUGAUUACAUGUUGCUUUCACGUAGUGUUAACGUCAAAAUAUCAUAAGUUGAGCCAUCCUAAGUUGGGGACUGUCUGUAUAUGCAUAUCACUCUUAGUAAAUGCAGGAAAAUGGAUAGCUAGUUUUACCAUUAUCAUAUAGCUAAGAAGAACUGCAAUUGAAACACAUGGUUUAACGACUAAUGAAUACAGCAGUCUUUUCCUUAUAGAGUUCACAUUUAAGUUAUUGACAAAAUUUACACAUGAAGAAUAUUUACCCCAUACCUUUUCAGGAAUAGUUACACAACCAAAGGAUGCUACAUAAUUAUCACCAAUAUUACUAAAAAUAUUUAACAUUUACUGCUGCUGCUUCUGUGCCCGUUGUAUUUAAUUCGUCCAACAACCAUGUGUGGUGAGUACCCAUAUGUUACCCAUUCACAAAUGAGGCUCCUCGUGUUUAAAGAAAUUAUCACCUAUCUCAAUGAGGAAUAGCCAGUGUCCUUCUGAUGUAAAACUCUUAUUUUUAUUCAUUAAGCUUCACUGACCUUAUCAAUAUACACAUUUUUUAAAGCUGAUAUAAAAUAAUUUAGAAAAAAAUUCUGUAAGAAUUGAAAUUAUAAGCAUAUAAUGUCAGGGCAAAUGAUUGGUACUCAAUGCCUCCUAAACGUAACCAUGAUGCCUCACUGCCUUUGAGCCCCCACUGCGUCUGCGCGCGGAGCCUGGGGUCAGGCUGCAAAGCCAGAGCACGCGCUUGCGCGUAAGUGGGGCUGCCGGGUCAUCCGCCCGCGACCGUUUUAACCUCGAGAGACGGCUUGCAUCGGGCCGUGGCUGCGGGCGACUGGGAAAGUAACUAUGACGCGCACUUGGGCCUAAAGAGGCAUCAUGAAGAGAUCCUGAUCUUAUCAGAGGCCAGACACACUGGGGGAUGGGUAAAGAAGGAAAAGAAAACAAGAAACAUUGGAAGGAUAAAUGGGGUCUUUCCUGUGAAGGCUCAACUUUCCUACAUAAUUAAGAAUUUGCAGCUUAGGCACUGCCAAAAACCACAUCUGCACUGAAAUCAAUUAUCUGUGUUUGGUGUGGACACUUUGAUAGCCUGUCAAGUUUCCCUUAGGAUUUUCACUCAACCAGCUAUUCUGAGCACCCCUUCUAAGAGGAUACUGGCAUUGUUAAGUGCUGGAAUGAGGGACAUUCAGGAGAUUGGAGCAAUUUUCUCUGAAGAAUAUGACUUUAACAAGACCAAGAGAAAGAGACUAAAUCUGCUGACAUCUGAGUUUCCAUCUCCAUACCCCCAUAUGACUCAAAACAAAUUUAUAUCUCCUUCUGAGAAGCAACAUCUUUCUUCAAAGGCUUUGCAUGAAACAAGAGUGGAAGGGAAUCAUGAGCUACAGUUUGAUUUCAGCCUUGUAAGAUCCUGAGCAGACCCAGCCAUGCAGUAGCCAUGCCGUCACCGACUUCUGACCCACAGAAACUAUGACUUCCACUAACAUAGAUGGAGGAUGUAUAGCCCAUUCCAGUGGGACACCCAGGGCCUUGCCUAUGGUGGUUGGAGUUCUGGCUUAAAUUCAGGCAGCUGAGACACAAGUGCCAUUAACUCUUGCUGAGCUCUGUGGUUUUUCCUGGAUUCUGCCACAACCACCAAAUACCUCGUCUCAUGUAGAUGCUGCCAGCAACUCCACUGGGUAGUAGUCAUCCGAAAGGCAACACUCCUGCUAUGUCUGCCAUCUUCUGCUCAUCAUACUUACGAUAGACUGAGGGUUUUUACUAUGGUAUGGUUAUGUUGUCCCAUUUUCAAUGGAGAAGCGGGGUUAGCAGUAUCUAAUAAAGUAAGUAUAAUAAUAAUGGCUAAAAUGUACCGAGUAUCCAUAAUGCACCAGGCACCGGGUUGGCUUUUUAUUUACUUGGGCCACAUCCAAUUCUUAUCGUGUUAUAUCCAUUUCACACAUGAGGUGAAAUGACUGACCCAAAGUCAUAUUGAUAACCAUUAGCUAAGCUGAAAUUCAAGCCAAGGUCUGUUCGGUUUCAACAUGUACAUUCUUUUCACCACACUGUGUAACCAUACCAAAGUUGCACUGCCUGUACCCCUAUACUUUAUAGAGAAUUUACUGAUAGUUUCUCCCACCCACUAGUGGUGCAGCAAGUGUUUGUGCAGAGAUAUUUCUAGAAACACUGCUCAACCUCUAGUCACAGGAUCAAGGUUCUCCACUUCUCUAUUUGUUUCCUCUCAGGAAAGGUCUCUUUACUUUCACACUUCUAGAAGCAUACCUCACUAGUAAGAGCUUUUUGAGGGCAAAGCUAAAUCUUGUUCUCUUUAUUCCUAGGGUCCAAGAGACAGUAUCUAGCACAUCAUGUCUUAUGGACUCACCAAGCACUAUUUGAAUGUAUGAAUUGAAUUUAAUUGCAUUGGAGACAACUCACAGACACACAAGUUAACAAGCACAAAGAAUGCAAGACAGAUGGAUCAGUUUGAUACAACCACUAUCUUGAGCAAGUUACUUAACCCUUCUGUUAUCACAUACAUAAUAGAAGGACAACUACUCUCUUAUAGGACAGUUGUAAAGAUCAAAUAAUAAGGCAAGAAAAAUGAUCUAGCAUAGUACCUGGAGUAUUUGUAGGCCUGUGCCCUCAGUCACAGUCCCUCCACCAGUUUAACUUCGUGCUACUUUCAAGGAUCACAUUGUUACAAUCUCAGUGCUUUUUAAAGGAACUGUAAGGUCCAAAGCAGAAAAAAGAAGGGAGCUGUGUAAAGCAAGAAUGGCUUGAAAGAAUUGACCUUGGGUAGGCUUGUCUUUCUGCUAAUUGGUUUGUUUUCCUCCAGCACUGAUGAUUUUGAUCCACCAUUGGAGCUACUCUCACCAUUUAGCUCCCCCUAACAUUCUAUCUCCUCCCUUUCUCUCCUCCCAAAUGUAGGCCAAAUUUUGAUAUUCCUACCUGUUAAUAUCUAUCUUAAAUUGGUGUCCUCUCUGUCCCCUCUGGCUUGGCUUUAUCUUAGGUCCCAUUAUCUCUCUCCUGGUCAACUGUAACAGCCUCCUGGGCUUCCUGCUUCUAGCUGGGCUUUUAAAAUCACGCAGAAUAAAGCAAAUCCACCAACUUUCUCUUUUUCAAAUGGUACUAGUGUAGAAAAUCCAAAUCUACUGGAUUUUCAGGGGUAGUACCAAUUCCAGUGCGUUACCAGUAGGAUAUUCUGGGAGGAAAAUUCUUUAUUUUCCAAUUACAUACUGUCAUAAGAAAAAAAAAACUUUUGCUGGGUCAUGUGCCCCACUUCUUAAUUCAGAAAAAAUGGUCACCAUAUCCUUGGGUUGUCUUGUAUUCAAGGAAAGGGAGUCUCUUACUCCUCCUCCAUCUUCUAAUUCAAAAUGAGUUACCUCCAUCUCGGAGCUCACAAUUCAGGCUAAUACUUAGGGCAGUGCAGCUGAGGAGCAUUGUAUUUUAAAUAGGCUUAUGUGGACCAGCCUUAAAACCAAACAAUGAUUUAUAACAUUGAUUCUUUGGGAAAGGGCAUUUUAUGUCCCACGUGAGCAUCUAACAAAUGAAUUUUUGUAACCAAGCCCCAUUUGCAAGUUGGAGGCUGCCUUUAUUAGGAAGAAAGCAGUAAACCAAGAAUUCAUAUCCCUCCCAUUAGCAGUGCUGGAGAGGACAGAAUUAUGUACUAAUUGUUUAAUUGAUGAGCAUAAAAGGAAUAUUUUAUUUAAAGCCACACUUUGGAGUCAUUUCCUUUCACCCUUUCGGUUGUCUGCCUUAUAAAAUUCUAGCAAUCUUUUUUUCUACAUUUUCUUUUCCUUUCCUUCACCCAAAUCUCAGUAAGAUUUCAUUCUAGGUCUGAGCAUAUUAUUUGCUUUACGGUAGGCUCUGGUGGUAAUAAAGCAUUACUCAUUUUUCUGCUUUAUUUCCUUGAGACACAGAGCAAACAUUCGGUAAGUGAUAGCUCUGUUCAAAUGCUACUGUGUAAAACAAGUGAGCAAGACUCAUGGCCCCUAUCUCCUCAUGGAGGGAUGGAAUGAUUUUGAGAACAGCACAAGACAAUAAAUUAAGUGAAGGAAGUUGUAUCUCCUGAAAAUUUUCACCAUAAUUUCUCCCAAAUAGUUUAGAAUAGUUCAUUCUGUUUUAUGGCAACACCCUCAAGCUAGACAUUCUUUCUCAUUGAUUUUAAGGAGAAAGGGAAGGUACCGUUGUACAUGAAUAGGUACUGAGAUUAUUAACUAUUAUAAGAUCUCUUUUGUUCUGUUGUUUGGGUUUCCUUUUUAACCUAAGAUUACAUUAACAAAUCAGAUCUUGCUGAGAAAUUACUUGUACUUUUCACCAAACGCUUCCCACAAGGAAAAUGGUGAUUUUUUUCACUACUGCAAACCAAGAAUAUUGUGGUUUUCUCUAGAUGAAUGAAACUAGAGAAUUCUUUCUCUGAGAGCAUAAAGCAAACUGAUUAAGUCAAAGAGGUGAAAUCCACAGUCUUUACUUUUGAAGUAUUCCCAGCAAAAAUCUAGGGGAUCUCAUGGAUAGUCACACCAUAAUCCAUUGUAUCUUAGGUAUUUGCAAGUCCUCAGCAGGUCGCCAUAAUUUAUACUUGUUAACCAUGUAAACACGUAGGAGACUCCUAAUUACUGCGAACACUGUUGAAUUGUCUCCAUUUUUAAGUAAUGAUAAAAAAUGUUACUAAAAGAGUGUAUCAUUUUGUUAAAUUGACUACGUUUGUAUACUUGUCACUUUUCAAUCUGUUGUUAACAAUAACCUUAGAAACAGUCCAUUGUAAAGGAUUUAUGAGUUUAAUACAUGGUACCUAGUCUCAUAUUUUAAUAAACAUUCUCAGUAUUGAAAAUGAA